CUGACAUAUAUGUUAAGAAAAAA
rnacentral:snRNA from 1 species